GGCAGCUGUGGGGUUGGUUGACUCAACAUUGUCUCAACAUUGUCAUCAAGGGCUCCUUCCUUCUUUCUACACCACCUUUCUUGGCCUGUUGGCUUUGUCCUCAGCACUGAGUCCCUCAUGGUCAGAAGAUGGCUGCAAUGUUGCAGGCAUUGCACCCAGUUAUGACAUUGUCUCUGUCUUUUUAAGAGCCAGGAAGCCUUUCCUGGAGGCACCCUGCAGAUCUCCCCCUCACAUCUCAUUGGCUAGAGUUAACUUGCACGUCCACCUCCAACUGCAAAGAGAAUGGGAUUCGCAUGUUGGUUACUCCUGAGUUGGGGUGGGUCACCUUCUCUGAGUACUUGGCUGUCAUUUGGACCGACGUGGCAGUCUGCUGCAGGGAAAGAGAAGGGAAGUGGGUGUUGGGUGAUCAAUCAACAGCUGUGCUCUGGUUAUCCACUGCUGUGUAACAGCCAAGACAAAGUUGAUGAAAACAAAAGCCCCGGUCAAUUCCAUGUGAAUGUCUGAAUGUAACUUUACAGUCUAUGUAUUUAAAACCAUGUUUAUUUCUUGUUCCUCAAAACCAGCUCUCCCCUGUGUUGGGGAACAGCUCCACCACCGCAUCAUGGUGACCUUGCAUGUAUCCACUUAGGCAGAGUCUUGGCAGAACGCCUCAUGGUCUUCCUGGAUGUGGGAGGCUGGGAAGCCUGUGUACAUAGCCAUUGUGAGGAGAUCUUCUGUUCACCUCCUUAUCUCUCCUGGGAAGCUGUCAUGAGACAGUUUCUCAUAUCUUGGGGGUUCUGGUGACGUGGAGGCUUUCUGUCCCGGCUUCCUCAGGAUAGAGCUUCUAGGAUUAGCACUUCGGCAACGGGGUAUCCCACAACUCACACUGCAGUCAUGUGGGUCUUUGAUUUGGUGUCAUACACUUCGUGGUAUGUAGGACAAAGAUCACAGGAAGCUGGCACAUUUAUUCUUUUUGCUGUCUACUUUCCUAGGUGUCCUUUAUUCAGAAACUAAGAGUGGGGCAAUAUAAGCUUCAUAAGGACAAGGCCUUCAUCACUGAAACUCCAGCACCUACGACAGUGCCUGGCACCAGAUGGGCACAAAACACUUGCUUGAAUGUAUAGAGAAAUGAAGUUCCUUCUUUUAUUUGAUUGUUUGGAUGUUCUUCUAUAGAGAGAUGGGGUCUUAUCUGCACUCUGUCACCCAG